rnacentral:ribozyme from 11 species
AUCUCUCUGUAUCUUGCUCUUUGUCUUUCUGUCUUUCUUUCCUUCCUAUCUUCUUUCUUUUCUUUCUACCGUCCUCUCAUGCGUGUUCGCGUAUGUAAAUUCAAGUUGGUCGGUCGAUGCGCUGGAUGCAA